ensembl:snoRNA
AGCACUUGUGUGGCUUUUCUUCUGUUGAGCAGGUAGACAAAGACUUCAAAGGCAGGUGCUAAGCAAAUACUCUUUUGUAAGCCGGGGUUCAUUGUUUCUGCGUGUGCUCUGGUACAGGCGAGAAGGAAUAUG